rnacentral:tRNA from 1 species
GUUGGGGAUGUGGCUUAGUGGUAGAACAUUUGCCUAGCAUGUGCAAGGCACUGAGUUCAAUUCUUAGCACAACA